rnacentral:lncRNA from 1 species
GAUCAUGAAGGUUGGAAGAGACCUCAGAUAUCCUCAAGAUACCCAAAGCAGGGAAGGAAACAGCUGAGGGAAUAAGACAUCCAGACGGAGAAGAAAAGGGGUGGCAAGUCAACUGGAUGUGCUGUCUGAUGAUAGGAGGAAGAGGAGAAAGAUCUCAAUCACCAUCAGCUCCUAAAAGGCACAAAUGGCCCACUCCAAAUCUGCUCGCCUUUGCCAAUCCAGGGGAACCCAGGAGACAGGUCAUGGUGCUGUACAUACAGAUGGACCUCUGUGCUGCGUCGCAUGGCGUGGAGAAAUCACUGUGUGCCAGGAGAGGAGAAAAAUUCAAUAUUUAAUCUGCAAACACGCCUGCAGAAGGAGCUUCCCAGCAGGAACUACAUCCAAUUGAGUGAUCUUCUCAACUGAUCCUCUCAGCUGUGUCCAGAUGUGGAGUCCUCAGUGCAGGAGAGACGUGGAGCUGUUGGAGAGCAUCCAGAGGAGGGCCACAAAAAUGAUGCCAAGGAUGGAACAGCUCUGCUAUGAGGACAGGCUGAGAGCUGGGGCUGUGCAGAUGGAGAAGGGAAGGGCAGGCUGCGAGGUGAGCUGAGAGCAGCCUGUCAGCAUCUAAAGGGGAGCAACAGGAAAGAAGGG